rnacentral:rRNA from 1 species
UACGGGAGGCAGCAGUGGGGAAUAUUGCACAAUGGGCGAAAGCCUGAUGCAGCUAUGCCGCGUGUAUGAAGAAGGCCUUAGGGUUGUAAAGUACUUUUCAUCGGGGAGGAAAAACAAAACUAAUAAUUUUAUUUCUUGACGUUACCCGAAAAAGAAGCACCGGCUAACUCCGUGCCAGCAGCCGCGGUAAUACGGAGGGUGCUAGCGUUAAUCAGAAUUACUGGGCGUAAAGAGCACGUAGGUGGUUUUUUUAAGUCAGAUGUGAAAUCCCUGGGCUUAACCUGGAACUGCAUUUUGAAACUGAAAUACUAGAGUAUCGUAGAGGGAGGUAGAAUUCUAGGUGUAGCGGUGAAAUGCGUAGAUAUCUGGAGGAAUACCUGUGGCGAAAGCGGCCUCCUAAACGAAUACUGACACUGAGGUGCGGAAAGCGUGGGGAGCAAACAGGGAUUAGAUACC